UGAAAUUGACAUUCUAAUUUUUCAGAUCUUCAUGAAGACGCAGAGUCAGAAAUAAUUGCAGAUCAGGAACUCGAUUGUGAUUACUUUGAUGAUAAAAAUCAAGAUGAAAUACUAGAUUUGGAGACUUGAGAACACUGCCUGAAACUUUCGCUUUAUUGCCUGAAUCAUAGCACAAUUCUGAAUCACAUAUGGGGCAAAUUCUAGUCAUUUAUUGAAUAAGUGUAAUAAUUUAGGAAUAAAUUAUGCUUUACAAAGUAA